GAGUUCAAGAGUACGUGAAACUGCUUAGAGGUUAAGCCCGAUGAACCUGAAUAUCCAUUAUGGAAAAUUCAUCACUAAUACUAUUGAUAUUUAAAAAUAUAUUAUAGAAAUAGUGUGCAAUUUUUCCAUAUAAGGACAUUGUAAUCUGUUAAUGUAUUAAACAUUUAUUAAAAGAUCUUAUACUUUAGUUUAUUCAAAUUAGUUAUUUUCGAAUUUCUAACAUAGAAUAAAUGUAUUUGAUUUAAUAAAUCAUUGACAGAUUUAAUUAUAAUAUAGUGCUUAAAUUUUUAACGAAAUUUUACAAUAGUAUGACAAUUCAAUUUGAUUAUAUUUAUUGUAUGCGCUUAUAUGAUUAACAAUGCGAUAGAUUCAGGAUACCUUCGGGACCCGUCUUGAAACACGGACCAAGGAGUCUAACAUAUGUGCAAGUCAUUGGGUAUUUUUAAUAAAACCCAAUGGCAUAAUUAACUUAACUGUUUUAUAUUUUUUUAUAAAAUAUGGGAUUAGUUUAUAUUUUAUUAUGAAAUAUUAAUUCAAUCCCGGGGCGUUCUAUAUAGUUAUGUAUAAUGAUAUUUAUAUUAUUUAUGCCUCUAACU
rnacentral:rRNA from 1 species